rnacentral:rRNA from 1 species
GACGAACGCUGGCGGCGUGCCUAAUACAUGCAAGUCGAGCGAACUUGCGGGAGCUUGCUCCCAAAAGUUAGCGGCGGACGGGUGAGUAACACGUGGGCAACCUGCCUAUAGGACUGGGAUAACUUCGGGAAACCGGAGCUAAUACCGGAUAAUUCUUUUCUACUCAUGUAGGAAAGCUGAAAGAUGGUUUCGGCUAUCACUUAUAGAUGGGCCCGCGGCGCAUUAGCUAGUUGGUGAGGUAACGGCUCACCAAGGCGACGAUGCGUAGCCGACCUGAGAGGGUGAUCGGCCACACUGGGACUGAGACACGGCCCAGACUCCUACGGGAGGCAGCAGUAGGGAGUCUUCCGCAAUGGACGAAAGUCUGACGGAGCAACGCCGCGUGAGUGAUGAAGGUUUUCGGAUCGUAGAACUCUGUUGUUAGGGAAGAACAAGUACUAGAGUAACUGCUAGUACCUUGACGGUACCUAACCAGAAAGCCACGGCUAACUACGUGCCAGCCGCCGCGGUAAUAC